UUCUUCCGGCGGCCCAUCCGCGCCAUCGCCGCCGCCGCCGCCGUCGCGGCUACAACGACCGCGACGGCGCCCUCCGGCCCCUUCGCCUCCUCCUUCCGGCGCCGCCCGGCGGCGGCCUCCUCGCUUCGUUGCUGCUGGAUUCGGCGCCGCGCCAUUGCUCCAAGGCCGGCCGGCUCUCGAUCCGCUCCGACGACCUCGGCCUCUGGUAGCCGGCGCUGGCGACCUCGCCCAGUUGGGCUUCGACUCAGGGGGCCCGCUCCUGUGGCCCGCCGCGACGACGGUCCUGGAGGGCGACCGCGAGUUCCCGCUCCCGCCGCCCGCUGAGCUUGCCGCGGCGGCUCGCCGCACCUCUCCUGUGACACUAACUCAAUAAGGCACACAAUCCUCCCUCUGGGUAUUUGCAUUAGUGCACCAAAGCUGGUUAUUAAAUGAUCAGCUUUAAUGUGUUCCACAAGCUCAGAAUGACCAUGGAUCACAACACGGCGCUCAUUGCUAUGGCUGACAAUAUCCAGAUCCCGAAGCUUGGGAAGUGCCGACUCAUGUAUCUCCAACUUGUCAAGCGUCUCCUCAUGCACC